UCUCAAGAAGUGUUUUCCGCUUCGGACCAUGCCUAAGUCCCUUGGAAAAGGGCAUCAUAGAGGGUGAUAAUCCCGUACAUGGCUUGGAGCGCCCGUAGCUUUGUGAUACGCUUUCUAAGAGUCGAGUUGUUUGGGAAUGCAGCUCAAAAUGGGUGGUAAAUGCCAUCUAAGGCUAAAUAUUGGGGAGAGACCGAUAGCGAACAAGUACAGUGAUGGAAAGAUGAAAACAACUUUGAAAAGAGAGUUAAACAGUACGUCAAAUUGCCAAAAGGGAAGGGUAGGAGGUCAGAGAUGCGUCUUGGGAUUCAGCCUUGCUUUUGCCUGGUGUUUUUCCCAAGCUGCAGGCCAACGUCGGUUUUGGGCACAGGAGAAGGGUAGGAGGAACGUGGCACCUCUCGGGGUGUGUUAUAGCCUCCUACUGGAUACAGCGACCGAGACCGAGGAACGCAGCGUACUCGUAAGAGCGGGCCUUUUGGCACCUUUACGCUUAGGGCGUUGGCAUAAUGGCCCUCUACCACCCGUCUUGAAACACGGACCA
rnacentral:rRNA from 1 species